CCACCCAGGUGCCCAGAUUGUUACUUUCUUUUCUGAGUUAUUAACAUACUCAACUUUGAUUCCUUUCCCAUAGUCAUUCUACUUUUUUCUGUCUUACUCUAAAGCCUUUCAAAGCUCUACAAUUAGAUUAAUACUUCUAAUUCUGUGUGGAAAUUUUCAUUUUCUUUUUUUCCCCCUACUUUCUUUAUAGAAACAAGGAUCAGGUAUAACGCUUUCUGGAUAAGUAUAUACCAAGGCUUUGUAAACCGGGCACUUAAGAUUCUCGUCGUUUUACAAGAGAAAAGGUUGUCUUAACUGACUACUUAUCGCAUAGGCUGCCAUUUUGGCGUGCCAAAUCUGUCGGUUAAGACUGAUUUUCCAGAUAGUGUUCCUUGGCAUAAUAAAACCAAAGCUAUUGGGGAUUCUAUAUGAUUUUUAGUUCUAAAGAAGUAACAUGAAAGUAUUGCUAUUCUUAUUUUGUAGAGCAAAAAGUAGGCUAGAAGAGUUAGAGACCUAUUUGUUAUUUAUCCAUUCAUACUGUUAGUGGUAUUGGCUAGUAUGUGGUGGUAUUACUCAACUUAAACCCAAGUUACCUGCCUCUUUGUUGAGUUGUCAUAAAUUAAAAUCAAAACACUAAGAAAAAAGUCAACACUAGAAAUACAAUAGCAAUUGGUAAUAGUAGCACAGUGUGUAAAACUUUAGCAUAAGUCAUAGUAUGCUUAUUAGAACAUUUAAAAUUUAAAAAACAUUUAAAAUUUACUUCUCAAGGCACUUCCUAAAGGGUUUUUUUUUUUAAGAUUUUAUUUUAUUUGAGAGGGAGAGAAAGAGAGCACAAGUUGGGGGGGGGGGUCCGGGGAGGGGUGGAGGGAGAGGGAGAAGCAGGCUCCCCACUGAACAGGGUGCCAGACACAGGAUUCGAUCCCAGGACUUUGGGAUCAUGACCUGAGCCACCCAGGUGCCCCUUAAAAGACUUGUUUUUAUGUACUGGGGGAAAAAAAAAAAACUUGGCAGAUUUGGCAGUCUUUAAGAUAUUGCUAGUACUCAUGUAUCAAAAUGGUGACAUAUAAAUUAGAAAAUAACAUUUUAUAUAGUUACUUGCUUUGUUAAGUUUAAGCAUUUGGCGUUAUUAAGAUUAUGUGUGUGUAUAUAUAUAUAUAUAUAUACAGACACAAACAUGCAUAUACAGACAUAUUCAUGUUUAUUUGUUUCAUUUAUAAAUCUUUUUUCUGGAAAGAAGAAUCAUUCUUUGUUUACGAAGUUACUAUCGACUGACUGUUGGGAUGACAACAGAGGAAUAUUUGAAAUACAACCUAAGUAUUAUUAUAGAGGACAUACUCAGUACUUUGAAGACUGCCUAAUAAAUUAGUGUGCAUUUGUUGACAGGUAUUACAACACAGUGAUCCCAGCCUUAGAAGAACUAAUUUAAUAAAGGAGCAACAAACCAGCACUAGGCUGAUUAAAAUAAAUGAUGUAUAAAGUGCUUUCAGUAUGCAGAGGAUGGAAUUACUAAUUUUAUUGAGGUGUGUGUGAAAAGAUGACAUUGUAAGUACUUUUAAUGUCUUUAAUAUUGUGCCAAAUGUUUUUAUAGCAUAAAACUUAGAAGUACUUUUCUUUUUAAUCAAUAGAAUCCUCAAAACCAGGUAAGUUUGUGUUGAAUAGGCCAAGGACUUUUUAACAGAUAUUGUCCUAACUAGUGGUGAAACUAGAACAUUUCCUAAGAGGGAGAAAUUAUAUUUCCAGACUUAAAAGCUCAAUUUUUUAAAUGUUUAAGUUAUAGCAACUUGAAAAUGACCAUUAAAAUAUGUAAAUACCGGGCGCCUGGGUGGCUCAGUCAAUAAGUGUCUGCCUUUGGCUCAGGUCAUGAUCCCAGGGUCCUGGGAUCGAGUCCCACAUCGGGCUCCCCGCUCUGCGGGAAGCCUGCUUCUCCCUCUCCCACUCCCCCUGCUUGUGUUCCUGCUCUCGCUAUGUCUCUCUCUGUCAAAUAAAUAAAUAAAAUCUUAAAAAAAAAAAAAUGUAAAUACCAUCACAAUACAGUGUCAGCAUUAAGAAAAAUAAAUUUUUAUAUCAGUAAUAAAUUUCAUUGAUGAACCAAUGGAGUAUCAGGUAACAAACAUGGAUGAGAUAGCAUUUGGCAUACCCAUCAAAUUGACAAAAAUGGAAAGGUCUGAUACUGCCAAGUAUUUAUGUAGAGAAAUGAGAGCUCUUUAUACAUUUCUGGUGGCAAAGUAAAUUGGUAUAGGCAGUUUAAAAAGCAAUUACCUAACACCUAGUAAUUUUGGAGAUGCACAACCCUAUGACCCUGAAGUUCAUGCCUCCAUGUGUCAACACCAGAAAGUAUUAUAUAUAUAUAUAGGAUGAUCAUUAUACUUGUAAUAGCGACAAAGUGAAACAAUAUGAUGGCCUCUUCUAAGCAGAUGAUUAAAGGGGUUUCUUUGUACCCUGAGAUAUAACAGUCAAAAUGAAAAAUUUGACUUCUAUAUUACCAACAUGGAUAAAUUUCAAAAAGCAGUGCUGAUUUUUUUUAAAGCAAGUUGCAAAAUGUAAUAUACAGUUUGGUAACAAUUUUGUAAAAUUAUAUUUAUUUUUUUAAAAGAUUUAUUUAUUUGAGAGAGAGAGAGUGUGCACAUGUGGGGGGGGGGCAGAGGAAGAGAGAGAAUCCUCAAGCAGACUGCCUGCUGAGCAUGGAGCCUGACUAGGGGCUCGAUCUCAUGACCCUGAAAUCAUGACCUGAUCCAAAGUCAGGAGUUGGAUGCUGAACUGACUAAACCACCCAGGCAUCCCAAUUUUGUAAAAUUUUAAAACAAAACAGUAGUAUACUUCUUUUAUAUAAUAAAAGUAGCAAGUGUGAAACUGUUCUCAUAGCCCAUAAAGUAUCUCUACAGAGAAAAUAAAAUGGUAUAGGUUCCUUUCUUUUUGCAAAGAUUUGACUAGAGAUUUAGGGGAUGAAAAGUAAAGUAUAAAAUUUACUGUUAUUUGAAAUUGCCAUUAACUUAGAAAAAUUUCAGUUUAUUGCCUGAUAUAUUACCAGGAGAUCAUGUUAAGUAUAAGAAUUUGGUAAUAAUUAUUAUUGAGCUUGCUAUUUUUACUCAUUAGUAAUUCAUAUAAGUUUGUGUAAGGAAUUGUAGUAAGGUUCAAAUCGCAUAUACAGACAUUUUUUAAUUGCUUUUUAAAAUAUAUGCAAAAUUUUAAAUACAUGGAUUUUGAAGAUCAAAAAAGGUUCAGCUAUCUCUAUUUUAAACUAUAUUUUAGGGCCGCCAGGGUGGCUCAGUCAGUUAAGCGUCUAACUUUUGAUUUUGGCUCAGUUCAUGAUCUCAGGGUCCUGGGAUCGAGCUGGAGCCGCAGACCCCUCGGGGCUCGGGGCUCAGGGCUCAGGGCUCAGAGCUCAGAGCUCAGGGCUCAGUGCUCAGCAGGAAGUCUGUUUGAGAUUCUCUCUGUCCCUCUGCUCCCCACCCCCCAAGCCCUCAUGCGCUUGCUUGCUUGCUCUGUCUUUCUCUAAAAUAAAUAAAUAAAUCUUAAAAAAAAAAACAAAAACAAAAACGAAAAACAAAAACUACAUUUUAAACACACAAUCAACAACUCAAGAUAAUUAUAUUAUACAGUGGUAUUAAAGAUUGUGUUAUACAAUGGUAUUUAAAACUUGAAAUAUACACAGAAGACAAUGAUGUGUGGCGGCUGAGGGGACACACAUGGAUCAGAUAGAACUGCAUUUGAAUUCCAACCCUGGCAAGUUAACUUAGCUUUCUCUGGUUUUCUUAUGACUUGUUAGUGAUAAUUCCCAUUUCAGUGUGUUGAUUAAAUGAGAAUAUAUGUAAACCACCUCAGUACAGGGCCUCCUACCCAGCAUACUUAGUUAACCAUCAGUGUAUUAAUUCUAACUUCUUUCUCCUGAAAAAAAAUCUGGGAAAUACCAUUUGGAUUUCUGUUCAGCUCUCCAAAGUUGACUUGAUCCGUAAUGUCACUCAGAGUAAUAUAAAUAGCGCCUAGAGUGGGGCAACCGUCUGUAGCAGUGGUUUGAUGAAGAAAUGCGGUCAGAGUUCCAAUUUGAGAACCCAGAAACUACUUUCCCCGCAUAGAGUUCUAGGAAUAGAAGCAGGAAUCCCCUCUGCAGGCACCCUUCUACUCCUUCUACUUGAGGAGUAGGAGUAAAUAAACCCACACACCUAAGCCAGUGGUGGUGGCUCUGGUUACCUGGGGCUGGAGCUUUUUGCGCUAGCAAGGAGCUUGAAGAUGAGAAAUGAGGUUCCAGUGAUGGGGAGGUGCUGAAACAGCAUGCAUGUGCUCGUUGGGGCAGAUGGAUAAAGGAGAGUGUAAAGUGGGGGCCGGGGUGAUCAGUGUAAUAGAACUUCUGAUUUAAAAAAACAAUACCAAACAUACCAACUAUAUACUAUUUCAAGAAAUUAUUCUUGGUAUUUUGUUGAAAUUAGAUAAUGAAUUCAUCACAUUUUAUAAUCCCAACCUUGUUUAGUUUAAGAGAACUAACUGGAUUUCCAGGUUUGUCUUCGUGUGACAUAAGUCAGUACAAACAGUGAAGGCUAUCUAUCAGCAAACCAUGUUAGAACUUUAAUGAUUAUAGGAAUUGAAGAAUACUGGAAAUAUAUCUGAUACUUCUAACUACUUGUUUUAGGGUGCCCAUAAUAAAACUUCAGCCAUGUAGUUCUUUGUGGUCAGUAUUUUUAGAAAUAAACUUAGUGUGGGGUGCCUGGUGGCUCAGUCCGUUAAGCAUCCGAUUCUUGACUUCUGCUCAGGUUAUGGUCUCAGGGUCAAGAGACCACUCACAAUCUCUCUCUCUCUCUCUCUCUCUCAAAUAAAAAUAAAUAAAUCUUAAAAAAACCGCAAAAACCUGUUUCUAUGAGAACAUCAGAUUUGUCUUAUGUUUCCACUGAAAGCACAAAAAAAACCCUUUCUGGUCCAUGUAAGCAUUGUACACACAUAGACAUUACAUGUGGUUUAUGUGAUCAGCUUUUUCUCAUUUUUGUAAUGCAGAUAAUUGAGACGUGAGUAAAAUAAUUUUCUGAAUUAAUAGAAACACAACAGGAAAUAUUACAAAUAAAAACUCUAAAAAUUCAAAUUUUCUCCUCGAUGUGAAAUCUGAUCAGUUUGCUGUCUAUUCUUUUUCCAAUAAUAAAAACUUUAUGUAAUGGUUGAAAAUAUGUAUCGAAAGAAAAAGGAUUUCCUUAAUGUUAAUAUGCUUCUUUUGUAUGUAAAACCAUUGCAUCCAAAAAUAUUGGACACUGUGUUCUUUUAGGAUUAAACCUCUAAUCUGUCUAAACUGCAGAAAAUUAUCAGUGUUGUAAUGGUCUGCAGAACAACUGUCCCCUUGAUAUUAAAUUCCGUAAAUGUUAAAGCUUUUCCUUUCCCACAGGAGGCAACCUCAAGAGCUGCUUUUCUAUUCUAAUCUCGAUAGUAAGAAGGGAAAAACUGUUUUUCUUCUAGGCACUCAGUUUGUCUUCCAAUAUUUAUACCAAAAUUUUCCUCACAAAGGAAAUCUUUAAUUAAAAAAAAACUCCGAAUUGAUCUACAAAUAAUUAGGAAAUAUUAAAAAUACCGAUUAUAAACAAAUGAGAAUAAGGGAAAAAGCCAUUUAUUUUUAAACUAAAUGCUAUACCUGCAUUAACAAAAUAUUGAAUAUAGUCUUCACCAGUGUCUUUUUAACUUGGCCAUAAUGCAUCAGUACUAGCUGUAACACUGAAAAUAUUCAGAGGUUAUUAUCUUUAAUGUAAAUAAACUUUCUUUGUAUACUUCCAUCUUUAUAUGUUGCUGACUACACAGAUAAUAGAACUAUAUAAAGCAUCAUUCACAUUUUAUCAAUCACAUUCAUUGACACUGCAUUUGCAUUGAAAUAUGAAUUCACAUUUUUUAAAAAAGGAAUACAGCAUAUUAUGGAAAGGCUACACAUUUUCUGGACUGUAAAAUUAAAAUGAGACUGAUAAACCCACAUGGUGUCUUCAUCCCUCCUGAGGUAUGUGCUGUCUAUUAAGGAAAUGAGAUGGCAGACCUCUGAAGGGGUUAUGAAUCCACUGGUCCUUAAUCUUUGUGGAUUUGUAGACUUGACAGUACUCAUAAAUGCUACAGAACUCUUGUCAGAAAAAAGUGUGUGUGCACAUAGACACAAAAUGUAGCAGACAAUUUUAGGAGCUUCACAGACCUUCUGAACACAGAACCCAUACCCUUACAUAAACACCUGAUAUUCACUGGCUAUUUGCAUGGUGACCCAAAGGUCUGGGGCCUGUGAUCCUUUGUCAUUUUGCUGGGGCACACAUUUGAGUCACACUAAAAUAAAGCUGGAAGGCCGAUGUGAAGCAACAAGUCAGCCGGUUAGUGGAGGAGCCUGGCAUUCACAUCUCAGUUUGACUCUGGCAGCUUUACAACUCAUCAUUAGCAGAAUAAUUAUCAAGAAGUGCUUAAAUGGUAAUUAUUAAGGUAUUCUGAAGGUCUCUGAAUUUCUCAUAAUAAAAAGGGUUCACUCUGCUUUCGUAUAUCCUAAGGCUCCGCAACAAGUUAUACCACAAUUAUUCUCUAAAAGAAAGCAGGCUUAUAAAAAAAAAAAAAAAAAAACCAUAAAAAAAAUAAAGUGUAUUAUCACCAUAGACAGUCAUUUAUUAACAGAUUUAUUAAAUCCCUAGUCACUGUGUAGUUUACAAAAAUAAAAAAGAUACAUACUCAAUCUUCUAAGAGCAUUCAAUAAUAUGCACUAAUUUUAUAUUUUUUAAGAUUUAUUAGAGAGAGAGCGUGCAUGUGUGCACAUGGGAGCGAGGGAGGUGUAGAGAGAGAGGGAGAGACAGAAUCUCAAGCAGAUUCCCCACUGAACUGGGAGCCAGAUUUGGGGCUCGAUCCCAGGACCCUGAGAUCAUGACCUGAGCUGAAACCAAGAGUCAGCUGCUUAACUGACGGAGCCACUCAGACACCCUAUCAUAGAAGUGAUUUUAGAACAUUAGGUAAUGUAUUUAUUGAAGACCCAUAUUUUCACCAAAUUAUUAUAAACAGCAUAAUUAAACACCAGUACAUUUUAUACAUGUCUAGCAUGGAACUUUCUAAAGUGCAUAUAAAUUAAACAUACCAGUUCUGAAUUGUAAUUUUGUUCAAGUUUUCAUUCUUUUAUAAUUCCUGCAUUAUAAGCUGAAGUAGCAAAAAAGUGAAAACUUUUAAAUUAGGUUUGUAAGAUUCACAAAGAUUUGGGGAGGGAUAGGUUUUAAUAGAUCCUUUUAAAGAUACUUUUGACUACACACCGUCAUUCAAUAGCCGUUAAGAAACAAUGACAUAUAUUUUUACAAAAGAGUUUUUUAAUUCUGAAAGUAAUAGAUGACCAUUAUAGAAGAUUUAGAAAAUACUGGCAAGUAUAAAGAAGGAAAGAAAAUCCCCCCAAUUCCACCACCCCAAAUCAACCAUUCUUAACAGUAAACUCAUUACAAAUACUACUGUGUAGAUUUCAGUUGUUUACAAAUUUAUACCAUUGAAAACAGUUUUGCCUUGCACAGUUUCUAAGCAUACUUACUAAUGAAAACACCACACAAUUUUCUAAGUAAGUUGACCCAACUUAGUAAACAAAAUUAACAGGUUUUUAUUUGGACCUUAAGGACAGUACAUGGGCUUACUGUUGGAGUUUCCCUGAUGUAGGUUUGGCAUAUGUUUUCUGGAAGCAGGGAAAGUGGAGUCAUAGGUGUAGGAAGCAGUCUCUUGUGAGAUAGGGUAGAACAAAGAAUAAACACUCGGAGAACCCUUUAGGGCCAGUUCUAGAGUAAUAAGGGCUCAAAAAAAAACUUGCAUUCGGUUUUUUGUCAUGAGGACAUUUUAACUUGCCUUGACUAGGGCCUUGACUCUCCCCUGAUAUGAACCUUUUUAGAGAGUGUUGUGGACUCACUUGUUUCUCCAAAAUUCGUAUGCUGAAGCCCUAGCCCCUGAUGUGAUUGCAUUUGGAGAUAGGUCCUCUAAAGAGGUAAUUAAGGUUAAAUGAGGUCAUAAGGGUAGGUCCCUAAUCCAAUAUGACUAGUGUCCUUUUAUGAAGGGGAGGAGACAUCAGGGAUACAUUUGCACAGAAGAGGCCACAUGAAGACAAAGCAAGAAGGCGGGGUGACCUGUAAGCCAGGGAGAGAGGCCUCGGUAGAAACCAACUCUGUUGGCACCUGAUCUUGAACGUCUUCCAGAGCUGUGAGAAAAUAAAUUUCUGUUGUUUAAGCCAUCCAGUGUGUGGUAUUUUGCACGGCAGAUCUCGCAAACUAAUACCGAGAAUAAAGCUUUUUUUUUUUUUUUUUUUAAGGAAAAGUGUGGUAGGUAGAAUCACGGUCCCCCAGAAUAUCAGGUAAUAAUCCCUGGGCAUUGUACAUAUUAUCUUAAAAGGGAAAGUGUCUUUUCAGAUUUGAUGAAGUUAAGGAUCUUGAGAUGGAGAGAAUAUUCUGGAAUACCUGAGUAGGCUCUAAACAUAAUCACAGAUGUCCUAUGAGAGGCAGAGGAGAUUUGACAGACCUACAUCGGAGAAGUUGAUGGGAUCCCUAAAGAUAGGGCCACGAGUCAAGAAAUGCUGAAGUAGAUUCCCAGAGAGCACAGCCCUGCGGACACUAAGGGUUUGCCCCAAUGCCACUGUCUGCAGACCUUGUGAGUAAAUACAUUUCUCUUGUUGAAGCUAUCAAGUUGGUGGUGAUUUGUUACAGCAGCCAUAGGAAGCUAAACAAACAGCAACUAAACACACCAAGUCCUUUUAGCAUCUUUCCGUGUAACAUUAGGGUUUUGUAUCAGAUGCUCUUGGCUUUUUAUUUUAUGAAAUAAUGAAUUAUAUUGAUUAUUUUUCUAUUGUUGAACCAUCAAGUUAUUCUUGGAUAAACUCUACUCAAUUCUGUGUUAUAUUUUGUUUUUUAAUAUCCCGGUGGGUUUGAUAAUAUUUUGUUUAUUGUUUAGCAUUUUUUUUCUGUAUUAAGGAAUGAAAUUGGGCUCUAGUUUUCCUUGUUGAUGCUGUCUUUGUUGUAAGGCUUUGAUCUUAAGGUUAUGUCAAAUUUAUUUGAAUAUGUAGCCUGAGCCCAGAUUAUGCUAACUUUGGAAGCCAGGCAAAAAAGCUGAAGCUUCUUGUGAUAGGCAUUUGGGAGCUGUUGCUGGUUCUUAAGCAGUAGAGACUUCAUAAACGGGGCAAGGGGUAGGUACUAAGACAUAACAGUGGAGCCAGAGUCACCUAUGAUUACCUGUAGAACAUUAUCAAGUCAUACAGUUUCAGAUAACAAAUCCAGGUAUUGAGUUUCUCAAACAUACUCCCCUCCAUUCAUGUUCUUAGGAGUGAAGACUUAAUGUGUGUUACAGGGCAUUCAGUCAGGAAGCAAAAGAAUUCUAAGGCACUAGAGAAUGUCCUAGUGGGUGACCAGGAGUUGACCAUAUUUAUCUCUGCCUUGUGAUUCUUUCAUUCCAUUCUGUUCUUACCUGGAAGAGGUAGCCAUCAUAGACUAAUAAACUUCGGGAAUGUUAGGGGAUGAUAGGAAUGUAUUUGUAUGGAUCACAGUUUCUGAGCAGAUGGCCUUGGCCUGUGGUGGGAGAGAGACAAGUAGGGUUAUUGCUAAGGAUCCAUUGACCUCUGUUUAACCCAAACAUUAUCUAAACACUGAAAAAAUAAUAUAGCAUACAUCUGUUAUUUCAGAUUUUCAGAUAUACUCAAUUAUUUCAUAAUUCGUCUACAUCACUAGCUGAACAAUUAGGUGUUGGAAUUUGUGGUACAUUUGGUUGUUACUGUUUUUAAGCAACAGGUACUAAGAGUGUAUACUCUUGUCCUGUGGGAAUCUGUAAAGGGUCUUGUUUUUGUUUUGUUUUUUUAAAGAGACUGUCUUCUAAACACCAACCCCUUCAUCUUCCUGCUGAGGCUAUUCCUGGUGAUAGAUACUCAUGUUUACACAGCUAGUCAGUCACAGAUUCCUUGUAAGAGCCUGUGUUUCCAAGAUUCCUUAGAAAUGCUAUGAAAAAGACUCCUAAGCUUUACAAUACUAAUUACUGGUGUUGAACUUUGAAGAAGUAUAGAUACCUGCCUCUCUUGACCGUGGGCUAUGUAUAGAUUGAAAGUUCUAUCAUUGCUUUCGGAAAGUUACAGGAUAGCUUCUGUUUUUAUAAAAUUGUUCUUAAAUUAAAAAAAUUUUUUUUAUGUACUUUUCAAUUUAGUAAGCUAUGUUUGAGGUGGCUCUGCUGGUUGUUUCAGAUGUUACGUUUUAGUUCUAGUCUCUGUUCUCAGGGUAGAUUUUUGGAAUCCUUUAUUUUCUGAGAUUUUUUUCUGACCAGAGGAAAAAUAACUAGAUAGAUAAAUAAGUAGAUGGGAAAACAGACAGUUCAACCAGAAAACAAAAAUAAAACCAAAUCUGCACAGCAGGUUUGUGAGAAGAUCUACUGUACUGAGUCGCUUGAUAGGUGUAUGUCCUUCGGUGAGCAUAUGGGCAUGGGGAUGGAUGCCUGGUGCACCAGCCAGCAUUGAUUAAGGAUGUGAAUAUGUUCCAAAUAGAUGUGUGAUCAAGGGAAGAAAACUCGUUAAUGCUCCCUGGGGUAUUAAGGAGUUGGGGGAAGAUGCAGAGUAUAAUUAAGAAGAAAUUGUGGUGUCUGUCUAGGGAUAAUUAAGUUCAAUUUAAGCCUGUUAUUCUAUUUUCGUGAAAAUGUUCCUGAAGUAGAAAAGAAUAAAUAGUAAGACAGUUUAUGUGGAUCUUAAAGAAAAGUUAGUUUUGACAGUUGCAAUUAAAUUUUAAUAGUUUAAUUUGGGAAUCUACUUAUCCUGAAAUCUCUGUUGGUAAAAACAUGGAAACUUGUAAUACGGGUUAGAAUUAUUUCGGUUAACAAUUAUGGUUUCUGUACCCAUUAGACUAUAAAACUCUUAUAUUCCAAAGGAUUUUAAAUUGACUCAUUGAGUUAUCUAGUUAAAUGGGAAUAUGCUGUUAAAAGUAGAAUAGAGUCUCCUUGUAGUCAUAAAGUUGACACAAUGCUUUAUGAGCAAAUUUAAUGUUCUAUUCAGGAACAUGAGGUUGGACAGAAAGAUAACCUUACAAGAAAUUAUCUCAGUUAUUCAUUCUGACCUUUUGUUCACAAAAGAAACUAGAAUUCAAAAGAACACAACAUUUUUUUUUAACAUUACACUUCUUUUAGUUGAUUGGUAUCUGCAGAUUGCUCUUAAUUAGACUAUAUAAAAUAUUAAUAGCACUUUGUGUUACUUUAGUUUUGUGUGUUUGUUAUUCCUUUCAGGUUGACAUCUUUCACCAUAUUUUUGCUGUCCCCCUGUAGAUUAUACAUUACAAGUCUUUAUAGGAAUCAGAUGUAUUCUAUAUUAAAUGAUUUUUUUUAAAGAUUUUAUUUAUUUAUUUGAUAGAGAAAGACAGUGAGAGAGGGAACACAAGCAGGGGGAGUGGGAGAGGGAGAAGCAGACUCCCCGCUGAGCAGGAAGCCCGAUGUGGAGCUCGAUCCCAGGACCCUGGGACCAUGACCUGAGUGGAAGGCAGACACUUAAUGACUGAGCCACCCAGGUGCCUCUAAAUAAUACCUUUUUUUAAGGGGGGAAAAAAAAACAGGAGAAAAUAUGAAGAAAUGAAGUCUAGGAACUACUUUGGAAAUGUCGGUAAUGAGGAGUGCAAAAUAAGUUAAAUCUAUAUACCAAGGAAAAGAGAUUUCACUACAAAAUAAUACGUGAAGCAAGAAAUCACGAGUAUGCUUACCCAUAUUUUACCUGAAUGCCAUUUAUUUAACAGAUAUUUAUUGAGUUCCAAACUAGAUGCUAGAGCCUUUCCUAGGCUCUGGGAAUAUAUUUGCCAAUACUGGAGUCAUAUGUGUCAUUUGUAAUUGGAUGUUCUAGGAGUUCUUUUUUUUUUUUUAAAGAUUUUAUUUAUUUAUUUGAGAGAGAGAGAGAAUGAGAGACAGAGAGCAUGAGAGGGAGGAGGGUCAGAGGGAGAAGCAGACUCCCUGCCAAGCCAAGCAUGGAUCGAUGCGGGACUCGAUCCCAGGACUCCAGGAUCAUGACCUGAGCCGAAGGCAGUCAGUUAACCAACUGAGCCACCCAGGCGCCCGGAUGUUCUAGGAGUUCUGAGAAGGAAAGCCCGCGGUACCUGCGGAGGCAGUGCCAGGAGCCUUAACCUAGAGCAGGGGACCAGGGGACUUCAGGGGAGAUCUAAGCUGGGACGUGGACUGAAACUGUACGGUUACAUCAGGGCCAGGGAGAGAGAAGGGGUUUGCAGAGAAUGUGGUAGGCAGUGGGAAUAGCAUGUUCAAAAACCCUGAAGAGAUAUGAUGUACUGUAGGGAACUCAAGAAGGUCAUGAUCACUGGCAUGCAGGCGGGGAUAGGAGGCAAAGCCAGGCUGGAGUGAUUCAAAUAGCCACACUUGAAAUCAUCUGAUUAACGUGAAGUACUCAGUGUCGCCUUAAGAUUGGAGAUACUGCCGUUGGUGUUCCUUGCCUAAUUGCCUCAAGCAUUUUUAUGUUUCUGAGAGCUGAACUCAUUGUACAUAUUUUUUUUUAAGGAAAGCAUGUGUUAGAAGUACCGUUAUUAGUCUUUGGAAGUGGUUUUACUAUUAAUCUAUUUUUUUGUUGUGGAACAUUUUAAGAACAAAGCAUUUUGAGCUUCCAUCUCCAGGUCUCUUUUUUACAAAUUGAACUAAUACUUUUUCAUUGAGAAAUAGUCCACAAAUCUUGCUGCUCAAAUAAGUCAUUGAUCUAUAUGAGGACUUUGGUAGGGAACUUGCUUAAUGUUUGUUCAGUAGAAUUGGAAGGAUGUAGAUAGGACCCACCUCUCUUUUUACUCGUCAUUGUAUCUCCAAUGCCCAGCCAUUUCCUGGUCUAUCAUUGAUGCUCUAUAUUUGUUCAUUGAAUGAGUAUGAAAUUUUGCUUUUGUUUUAAUGCCUGCUCAGUGUCUUAUAUGGUUCCAUGGUUCUGUGAUAAAAUCUAGACCUAAGGUGGAUGAAGUACUACAGUAUGACUUGAGUAAUUUUCUUUUAAAUUUAAAUAUAAGAUGGAGAAUAUUAUUUUAACAGUUUGUAUAUCACAUGAGAAUUGGUAUGUGAAUGUUCAGCUUAUGAGGCUCUUUUUGAAAUCAUUGUGUGAUAUUAAGAAGACAUUCGUUGUAGAAUAAAAUGAAUAAGAAUUGUAUUGUUCACGAAGUUUUAUACUUUAAUUGUAUUGGGAAUCACACAAAGCAGUUAUAUCUUGUAAACUAUCACAUUUUCAUUUCUAGGGAGACUGUAUGUUUUACUAGGCUUACAUCAAACUUUAAAAAAAAAUAAACACUUCAUUUACAUGCCGUAAGAUUUAUCCGUAAGUGUAAAAUUUAAUAAUUUUUCACCAAUUCAUAGAAUUGUACAACCAUUACCACUGUCCAGUCUUAGAAUAUUUGCAUCACUCUAAAAAGUUCCCUCAGGGACCUUUGUGAUCAGUCCUUGUACCCAGCCCUAGGCAAUUAGUGAUGUGCUGUCUGUGUAUACAGAUUUGUCUUUUCUGGGGAUUUCAUAAAUAUGUGAUCUCUUGUGUCAGAAUUCUUUCACUUAACAUCAUGUUUUCGAGGUUCCUUGAUGUUGUGGAAUAUAUUGGUGGUUGGUUACUUUUUAUUGUUUAAUAGUAUUUCAUUGUGUAAGUAGAUCAUAUUUGUUUAUCCAUUCCACAGUGGGUGGACAUUGGGAUUUUUUCCAGUUUAGGACUGUUAUGAAUAACACUUCUGUCACAUUCAUGUGCAGGUCUUUGUUUGGACACAUGCUUUUCAUUUCUCUUAUGCUAAUAUCUAGUAGAGUUGGUGGCUCAUAAAUGGUAAGUUUAUGUUUAACUGUUUAAGAAAUUUCUGGACUCUUCUAAAGUAGCUGUACUGUCUUACAUGUCCACAAGACUGGUGGGAAGCUUUCAAUUUUUCUUCCUCGGUAACAGUUGAUAAUGUCAGCCUUCAAAACUGUAGCCAUUCUGUCAGAUGUGUAGUGGUAUCUUAUCGUGGUUUUCAAUUUGCAUUUCCUUAAAGACUAAUGACAUUGGGCAUCUUUUCGUGUGUGUUAGUUGUCUUACAUCUGUGGUGGAAUGUCUAUUAAAAUCUUUUGCCCAUUUUUCCUGUGUUGUCUUCUUGUUAGGAGUUACUGAAAUUUUUAUAUAUUCUGGGUACAAGUGCUCUAUCAGAUUUGCAAGUGUUUUCUCCCAGUCUGUGGCAUGUCUUCAUUUUCUUAGUGAUACCUUUUCAAGAGCAGAACUUUUUAAUUUUGUGGUGCAGUUAAUCGAAUUUUUUUUUUUAUUGAUUAUGCUUUUGAUGUCAUGUAGGAAAUCUUGGCCUAGCCCAAGGUCAAAACAGAUUUUCUCCUAAUAUUUUCUUCGAGAAGUUUUAUAGUUCUAUAGAGGAAAGGAUAGUCUUUCAACAAGGGGUGCUGGGACAGUUAGACAGCCAUGUGGUCUCUUCUUUCCUUCAUAUAAUUCACUGGUGGUACCUUUGUCUGAAAUCAGUUUGUCAUAAAUGGAAGGGUUUAUCUCUGGACUCUCUAUUCUGAUGCACUGAUGUAAAUGUCCAUCUUUAGACCAAUAGCCACAUCAUCUUGAUUACUGUAGCUUUAUAGCAAGUUUUUUGAAACUGGGUUAUAAAAUUCCUUCUACCUUCCUUUCUUCCUCAAAAUCAUUUUGCCUACUUUACAUUCUUUGCAUUUCUGUAUAUAAACUUAUAUAUUAGAUCGGUUUGGUAGCUUUCAGUGAAUAGAUUUGUUUUUGUUGCUAAAUUUAUUGCUAAGGAGUUUGGUUUUUUUUAAAGCUCUUAUGAGUAGAAUUGUUUUCUCAAUUUCACUUUCGAAUUAUUGGUAGUAUAUAGAGAUACAAGUUAACUUUUACUAUUGGCCUUAUAAGCUGUGACUUAACCUCAGUGUGUUUAUUAGUUCCAGUAGUUUUUGGAGGGGGUAGAUUUCUCAGGUUUCUCUACAUAGAGGAUCACGUUGUCUGACAAUACAAACAUUUGACUUGCUUUCAAAUGUGUUUGCUUUCAACUUUUCGUUCUUACCUUAUUUCACAUUCCAGAACUACCCAUACAUUGGUGAGUAGAAGUGACUGCAGUGUAUAUAUGUAGUUUGUUUGUAUUAAUCUUUGUAUGUUAUCAUUGUCCUUGGCAUUUUGUGUGGCGACUUCAGUCAUGACCAGAAGUUGAACUUACUUAUCCUUAUUGAUUUUAAUAGUACUAUAUUUUUAAAAAGCCUCUAAACAUUCAAUAAAAUUUGAGUGAAGUUUUUAGAUAUUAACUCAUACCUCAACUUUUCCAGUUUUGUGUCAAUAGUUUCUACUUUACUUUUUUUUUUUUUAAGGGACGCAAAUUUCUGUUUUAGCCGAUGGGCUGUCCUCAGUUUCUAUAAUUUGUGUGUAUGUGUGUUUAUUGGUGCAGAUCAAGUCACUAUUCAUUCUUACCACUGUCAGAUUUUUAGCAUUUGGUUGGAAAUAAUUUGGCACUGGACUUGGUGGUUUUGGGGAACCUGGAGUUAAAAGGCAGUGCACAUAUUUUUUAUUCUCAAAGGAAAAUUUUAUGUCCUGCUGUGUUGUUGGAUACUUUGUUCUCCUGUAAACUCGCCAGCCCAUUUUUAUGUUUUCUGCAGUGACUAGUCCUGCACCUACUGUGCCAUCAGAAUUUAUUGAUGGUUCCCAGGUUAAAUCAGCACACAGGUUAUUGUCAUUUGUGUUUGAUGUG